rnacentral:lncRNA from 1 species
UGGAUUGAGUCAUUGAAUAAGCAAAAUGAGAAGUUAGGACAAAGUAGGGUUUAAAAAAUAUGUGGGGUUUCAUCCAUUUCAAGGGAUGUAUGGAUAAAAUAGGAAGUUAAUGAUACACAAUCAUGAUGUUGUAUAGCUUUAGGGAGUAGAGGAAUGUGACGACACUAGAAAAGAAAAUGUUGGGUUAAUGGACCACAAUAUACUACUCUUCUCUUCCUUCUACUUGGGCUUUAGUUCCACAGUGUCUAUAUGCUAUAUCAUCUCUUGCCCUAGUUGGUUACUAGGGCAUAAUAACAUUAUAUACAAUCAAUGCAAGUCAAUAUUUUGACCAAAUAAAGCAAGAGGCUUUCUUGGAAGAAAUGAAAGGAAAAAGAAUUUGGGACCACCUUUUUCUUGUGAGAGAUAUCCUCAAACCAAUUGGCUUUGCUUGAUUAAAAUCAAUUUCAAUUUCCAAACACCCCUUUAACCUUCUCUCCUUUUACCCCCAAAACAAUCUCACCAACCAAAAUUAGGGUUUUCAAUAGAAAGUUUCAUGACAGAUUAAAAAAUAAUAAUUUAAAGAGGUGUAAAUGAAUAUAGUAUAAGAUGAAAAAACUCUUUUCUAAAAGUUGAGAAGAGGUUUAGAAAAUUGAAAGUUGAUUUUUAUUUCAGUAAAAUUGAGUGUUGAUGACAAAGUGCAUUAACGUACGAGUAUUGAAGAUAGGUGAUUUAAUAAAAUUGGAUAUUGGUUACAAAGUACGUGAAUGAUUGAUGACAAAGUGCAUCAAAGUUAAUUGAAGACAUGUGCUUUAACAAAAUUGGGUGUUGGUGACAAAGUGAAUCAGUGAUUGGUGACAAAAUGCAUCAACAUGAGUUGAAGACAAGAGCUUCUACAAAAAUUGAAUGUUGGUGAUAAGAGCAUCAACGGUUGGUGAUAAAGUGCAUCAACGUGAGUUGGAGAAAAAUUUUUCAACAAAAUUGGGUUGGUGACAAAGUGCAUCAACGUGAGGUGGAGACAGGUGCUUCAACAAAAUUGAGAGACGAAGACAUGUGCUUCAUCAAACAUAUACAAUUUGAAUUAUGGGAUGUUGGAAACCUAAUUCAACAUUGUAGUAGGAAACUUUAGUUAUUUAGGAUUUAAUUUAUUUAAUUCAUGUCUAAAUAAAAUUAACAGUUAGAACAAAUAUAAGAAUGAACUUUUUGUUUCUAGUUAAAAUAUGUUUUAUAGUAUUAUAAAUAUAGGUUUUGAUAAUUUAUUUUAUGUGUGAAAAAAAGUGAAGGAAAUAAAGAAAUGUAUAAAGAUUAAUCAGAG